rnacentral:rRNA from 1 species
AUUGAACGCUGGCGGCAUGCCUUACACAUGCAAGUCGAACGGUAACAGGUCUUCGGAUGCUGACGAGUGGCGAACGGGUGAGUAAUACAUCGGAACGUGCCCGAUCGUGGGGGAUAACGAAGCGAAAGCUUUGCUAAUACCGCAUACGAUCUACGGAUGAAAGCAGGGGACCGCAAGGCCUUGCGCGAACGGAGCGGCCGAUGGCAGUUUAGGUAUUUGGUGGGAGAAAAGCUGACCAAGCCGACGAUCUGUAGCGGGACUGAGAGGACGACCAGCCACACUGGGACUGAGACACGGCCCAGACUCCUACGGGAGUCAGCCGUGGGGAAUUUUGGACGAAGGGAGAAAGCCUGAUCCAGCCAUGCCGCGUGCAGGAUGAAGGCCUUCGGGUUGUAAACUGCUUUUGUACGGAACGAAAAGACUCUGGUUAAUACCUGGGGUCCAUGACGGUACCGUAAGAAUAAGCACCGGCUAACUACGUGCCAGCCGCCGCCGUAACAC